ensembl:lncRNA LINC01583 long intergenic non-protein coding RNA 1583
AAAGAAUGAAACUUCCUUACUGUUCACUAACCUACGUCUCAAUUACCUCCCAACAUGUUUGCAGCAAGUACCCUGUCGAUGGUAGGCAAGAGGAAGGUGUGACCCACAAAGAUCAAGGAAUCUAAGCCGGCCAAGGUUAAGCAUGAAUCGAGGAAAGGAAACAGAAAUCCUCUUCCUAGUCCUCUUUCCUCUGUUUUCUCCUCUGGGUACCAGAAUUGCGACAGAGUGGGACAGCUCAGGCAGCUGCAGGUCUUGGCCAGUGCUCUUCCUCACCCAGGCCAUGCAGCAUCAACACAGUCACCGUAGAACUCCUCUUAAGACAAGCAAAGGAACUUUCCAACCCAGUUGAGUGCACUUUUCCCAAGUGUGUGGUAAAAAGUUAAAUGACACUUUGUGAAAGGGAUCCUUAAGCUACAAAAACAUUUUCCCCCAUCACACUAAGCACUUGGUUUUGUCCUUGUAGUUGCAAAAGGGGCUGGAGUCAUUUGAUGAAUUCUGAAUGUUGUAAGGCUGCUUUUCUGGAAGGGUAAACAGGGAACCUUUUAGAUGCCAAGACCUUUUAGAAUAACGACCCUUCAGAGGAAACUGAAGUGCAAAGGAUUGAAGUAACCUUCCAGAAGGUACACAGCUGGUGAGACAAAGCCUGUACUGGGUCCCAAGCCUGCCUGACUCCGGACUCCCACACCCCACAGUGAUACCAGAAUCACCCUGAAAAUGGGAAACAUGCUGCAGCUGCUGUCCUGAUUCCAGCCUCUGACCAGGAGAGCUGGAUUGACCAGGAAGCCAAUGAAGCUAAGUUUCAGGGCCCCCUGUCUGCCUAAGGCCUCUCCCAAGGCCCUGCACCAAAGUUUCUAUUUGUGACUUUGUUUUCUUAGAAAAAACUCCUCAAUUAUGUGAAUUCACCUCUGCUGACAAGUAACUCCUUAGAGGACGUGAGUUUUAGAAGGACAAGCUCCAAAAGCAUCUCUAGAUAGCCUCCAGAACCCUGCUGGUGUGACUCUUUUUGGAACUAGUUCUAAAGGCUGGAAAGUCCAAGACCAAGACACCAGCAGAUUCAGUGUCUGGUGAGAGCCCACUCUCUGAUUCACAGAAGGCUUCUUACUGUGUUGAAAAGACAUGACUCAACCCACCCAUCACUUAGCAGCCGUCUGGGUUAUCAGAUUGACUGUCAUAGCGGCACAGUGCUUGUGUUCAAGCAACCCUUAUUUUACUUCCCGAUGGCCCCAAAGUGCAAGAGUAGCGACGCUGGUGAUUCCGACAUGCCAGAAAGAGGCUGCAAAGUGCUUCCUGUAAGCGAAAAGCUGAAAGUUCUCAAUGUAAUAAGGAAAGAAAAAGAAAUCAUAUGCUGAGGUUGCUAAGAUCUAUGGUACUCAGGGAGUUUUGAGAUUUUCCAAGAUGCCAUCGAGGAACUGAAAAGUGCUGCCCAGCUGCAGUGAGGGCUUUUUAAAGGCAGUUUCAUGUCUACACCCCACUGAGUUCAGACUGUCCAAUGAAGCACUGACAUUGUUACACAUGCGUGUUGUGGACAACUUGAGAAAACACUUGUCUGCAGGAAGAUGAAAUUAAAAUCAAGUGUGAUCCUACCACCGAAAGAUAAGUGUUACUGAUAUUUUUUGUUAAUAACAUUCCAGUUUUUUAUGUAGUUUUGGGGUAGCUUAUUAUUUUCAUGUGAUUUCAAACUUGGAGAAAGUUUCCAAGAUGAGUCCAAGGAGCUCUCAUAUGUUCCUCACCCAGAUCCACCAACUGGCCACAUUUUGUUCCAUUUGCUUUAUUAUUCCUUCUACCUCUCUCUCUCUAAAGUAUUAUUAUAUGUUAAAUAUAUCUUAAUAUAAUUAUAGUUAUGUUAAAUAUAUCUUAAUAUAGUUACAAAUAAUUAUGUUAAAUAUAUCUUAAUAUAAUUAUGUUAAAUGAUGUUAUGAAUAUUAAAAAUUAUAAUUUAAAUAAUAUUCUAAUAUAGGCAGACAUUUAGUUUCUGAACCAUUUGGGACCAUGCUGAAAACAUCAUUUUCCUUUACACCAUUUUCCUUCAGUGCCAGAGGGGAACAGAGCAGUGAGAGGUUGUGGGGGGAUCCUGGGCCAGGAGCAUCCCCAUUUCCUGGAAUAAGAUAGUUCUCUUAAAUAACUACAGUACCAACAUAGAAAUCAGGAAAUUUAGCAUUGACACUAUUAACUAAUGCACAGCCCAUAAACAAAUCAUAUCAAUUGUUCCAAUAAUUUGUGUUUGUUUGUUUGUUUUGUUUUUUUAGACGGAGUUUCACUCUUGCUGCCCAGGCUGGAGUGCAAUGACUCAAUCUCAGCUCACUGCAACUUCCACCUCCCAGAGUGUCUCCCAGGCUAGAGUGAAGAUUUCAGCUCAAUGCAGCCUGGACCUCCUGGGCUCAAGCGAACCUUCUGGCCUCAGGCCCCCUGAGUAGCUGGGACUACAGACGUAUGCCACCAUGCCCUGCUAAUUUUUUGUAUAGACAGGGUUUCACCAUGUUACUCAGGCUGUAGAAACAUUUUAAUAGCUGCAUAAUUUCCAUGAUGCACACCGUGUUUACUAAUUAUAACUCCUAUGGUUUUGUCAAA